GUUUGGAAAUGACUUCCCUUUACAGUUUCCCCUUAUGAUUUCAUUCACUCUCAGCCCUUUGCAAUCUAGUUUCCAAACUCAUCAUGCAAACACUAACACAGUUAGCAUAACUGUCAAAUGAUUGUUUGCAUUGUGGAAAGCAAUUUGGGACUAUACCCCAAAAUUUAUCAAAUUAUGCAUAUGCUUUUACUACUAGGACAAUACCCCAAAGAGAUGAAAUGAUGAAGAAGAAUAAGGGGCAAAGAUAUUUAUAGUUUUUUUUUUUGUUUUACCAAAAUACUGGAAACAAAGGAAGUACCCAUCAAGAGAAAUGGCUGAGAAACUCAUAGUAUACAUAUAUAAUGUCCUAUGUUGGUUUUGUAAGGAAUGUCAAUUUCAUAGAAGCCUGGGAAACUUUUCAUGAACUAAACCAGAGGCAUGCCUGUAGUGAUAGUGUUACUCUACCCUAAAGAAGAGUCAUUUAGCAGAAAAUGCACAGAAGAUGACAAAAGGAAGUUCGGGAAGACAAAGCAGUACAGUUUUAAACAGUUCAGGCUACAGGUAUGGAACACUGCAGAUGUUGCCAGAACUGUUGGUUUUGCUGAAUGGAUUCUUCCCAUCCCAUCCCCCCCUUUAUAGUCUUUGUUUUAAGGGAUGACUCUCUAUGGAGGAGAGGAAGCAGGUCAAAGUCCAUUGGAAGUAAAGCCAGAAUUGUCCAAGACAACAAGGAGUUGUUUGCUUGCUGAGCUCCUGUGUGUUUCUCAUAAGCUUUGGAUUCUAAACUCUCCAGUGUUGUAGCAGUAAGGAAAAAUUCCCAUGGAGCCAUCUGCUCUUGGCCUGGUACUCUGUCUGCUUCUCAUUUCAGUAUGGAGAUGGGGUUAUGUGAAAGGAAAGUUCACACGUGGGCCUACUCCUCUUCCAAUUAUUGAAAAUAUGCUGCACUUAGAUACUAAGAAUAUCAAUAAAUCCUUUUG